rnacentral:rRNA from 1 species
UAGGGAAUCUUCGGCAAUGGACGAAAGUCUGACCGAGCAACGCCGCGUGAGUGAAGAAGGUUUUCGGAUCGUAAAACUCUGUUGUUAGAGAAGAACAAGGACGUUAGUAACUGAACGUCCCCUGACGGUAUCUAACCAGAAAGCCACGGCUACCUACGUGCCAGCAGCCGCGGUAAUACGUAGGUGGCAAGCGUUGUCCGGAUUUAUUGGGCGUAAAGCGAACGCAGGCGGUUUCUUAAGUCUGAUGUGAAAGCCCCCGGCUCAACCGGGGAGGGUCAUUGGAAACUGGGAGACUUGAGUGCAGAAGAGGAGAGUGGAAUUCCAUGUGUAGCGGUGAAAUGCGUAGAUAUAUGGAGGAACACCAGUGGCGAAGGCGGCUCUCUGGUCUGUAACUGACGCUGAGGCUCGAAAGCGUGGGGAGCAAACAGG